rnacentral:sRNA from 1 species
UUACCUUUUGCACUUGCCAAUUAAUUGGUAAAAUUAAAUAUAUAAAUUGAUCUUGAAGCUGCUGUGGAGGAAAAAUAGCAAACGAUACACAUAUAAUAUGAUGUAUGUGAUUAUUUGGUGAAGGUUAGAAUGGAGCAGCGCAUACACUUGUUCGACGGAGCGAAAGCCUGUGUGCAGAUAUGUCUUGAUGUACUUGCAUACAUCAAUAUGGCGAUCGGUUAAAUAUUUGGCAAAAAAAUAUGUUCAGACGCACAAAUAUGAAUUAAUCGGCCUGGAGUUGCCGGAAAUUUGGCAAUGGACGAGUUGAGGUAGGUGCACUUCUACCUUGUUUGAAUUUGUAGCUGUUCCUGGAACCUUUUAUUGCAGAUCCACCAAUGCCUGCUGGGGCGAACUGGAUAUGCCAAAUGUUGAGAGAUCCGGCUCGAAGGACUAAAUGAUGUAGUAGGGCGUCCGCAGGGCUUCCAGAUGAACUUUACGAAUUUCUGUAUCGUUGGGGGAGCGUUUCUGCGCUGCACAAAUUUACUUAAAAAGAGUACAUUACAAUGUAUUAGCAAAGACAAUAUAAACACUAAGAUGAGUAACGCCCAUACAUUUGAAUGCGACUCAAAAUUUCUAGCCUGG